AGCCGCUCUUCUCCCUGCCCACA
rnacentral:miRNA from 1 species